GCUAACAAAUUCUUGAAUGGUCUCAUUUAGUUUGGAACGCAUUUUUCGGGCCUUUGAUCUCGUUAUUGGGCCUUGUGGUAGUUUGAGCCCAUCACGUUCUUGGGUUGGGCCUUUGAGACUCGUAUCAUUCCCCCUUCCUCAAAAUGAUUCGACCUCGACUCUGAAAAAUCAAAUGGGGACAAUUUAGCCACAUUAAAAGUAGAACUCACAUUAUACUCACCAGGUAGAUCAAUUUUAUAGGCAUUAUCGUUGACCCGCUCGAGUACUUGGAAAGGCCCAUCGCCCCUUGGGUCCAAU
rnacentral:lncRNA from 1 species